rnacentral:sRNA from 1 species
AGCCAUGUCAGUGAUAUGGUUAUUGUAUUAGUAUUGUUAUAACAAUCUGGAUUAUUUUUAUGAAAAAGACAUUACUAGCUAGUUCUCUA